AGAGCGAACGCUGGCGGCAGGCCUAAUACAUGCAAGUCGAACGGAUCCUUCGGGAUUAGUGGCGGACGGGUGAGUAACACGUGGGAACGUGCCCUUUGGUUCGGAACAACUCAGGGAAACUUGAGCUAAUACCGGAUAAGCCCUUUUGGGGAAAGAUUUAUCGCCAUUGGAGCGGCCCGCGUCUGAUUAGCUAGUUGGUGGGGUAAAGGCCCACCAAGGCUACGAUCAGUAGCUGGUCUGAGAGGAUGAUCAGCCACACUGGGACUGAGACACGGCCCAGACUCCUACGGGAGGCAGCAGUAGGGAAUCUUGCGCAAUGGGCGAAAGCCUGACGCAGCCAUGCCGCGUGAAUGAUGAAGGUCUUAGGAUUGUAAAAUUCUUUCACCGGGGACGAUAAUGACGGUACCCGGAGAAGAGCCCCGGCUAACUUCGUGCCAGCAGCCGC
rnacentral:rRNA from 1 species